UUGCGCUCUUUAGUCCCACAUCACCUAUAGCUUGAGUGUGAGGAACAUCUCUACUUAUAAAUAAGUUCCUACCCUCUUUGUAAACCACCUUUGAGAUGAAUAGAAAAUGAACUUGCUAAAGUGUUUGUCUUCUUGUUCUUAUGUCUCAAAAUGAGAGUAUUCUCUAAGGGGUCUUCUCCAAGGAACCUUCCCUGCAAGAGGAACCCUAGUCUUGAGUUUUUUUUUUGAAACAUGGGAAAACUUUUAAAGUUUUUUUCAAGUUUUUCAAUGCCUCAGAGAUGCUUCAAUCAUUUUGGUAUCAGAGUUAGGUCUUGGAGGAAAGUUCUACCAGAGCUAUGUUUAUUUUCCUUAUAUUCUUACUUCCUAUUUUGUUCAUGAAUUGUUUAUGUUUAGGAUAGUUUAAUUUCUCUUUUAUUCCAUGUAUUUUUCAUUAUUAAUUGAUUCAUGCUUUUAAUUCCAAUUUUCCUUGAAUCAAUGCCUUGUCUAGAACUCUAUUGCAUGUUCUAGUAUAGUUGUGUC
rnacentral:lncRNA from 1 species